GAGUCGCUUAUAAUACUCUCUUUAUCUAUGAUAUCAAAUAAAGCUAUAUUCUUCGAAGCAUCGACUCAAUUAGUAGUUGUGAUCGAAAGUUAUUAAUUAAAAUAUUUACAGUACCGCAGGGGAAAAGGAAUUCUUUAUGUAAUAGUAGUUAUAUAGACGUACUUUUUGCAUCACGACCUAGCAAGUAAAAAAUAAAGAGUUAUUUUCUCGAAGAUCUGUGAGCUAUCUUAUUUUUGUUUUUUAGGACAGAGUCAUUCUAGAUGUUGCAAAAUUUAAAUGAAAAAAUAAGAUAGAGAUGAUAUUUCUUUCGCACUGAUGAUAGCUAGUUUUCUUAGAACUGUGUAAAAGUACACAAUGAAUACAAAGUUAAAAGCAAUAUAAAACUAUAGCCGUUAUUAAUUUAGAUUCUAUUGGACUUUUUUGAGGAUAAGCUCGAAAAUUGCCGCUGAGAAAUUGUAUAAUUAAAAGUUACUGUGUGGGCCUAAAAUUAGCCAGCAUAAAAGUUUGUUAUAAAAUAAUAAAAUAUAUAAGAAUAAUUACUAUACAAGACACCAUACUAAAUUAUAAGAAUAAUAACCUAAACUGAUGGGUUAAUAUGCCUAUGCUAGGAUGAGUAUUCAAAUUAUUUUAAGUUGAAAUAAAUAUCUCCUUAAAAAAUAUUUCUGAUACGAAUUAAAGAAAAGGAACUCGGCAAAUUAUUGUUUCGCCUGUUUAUCAAAAACAUGGCUCUCUGACAAAAACAUAUAGAGAGUCGAACCUGCCCAGUGAACAGUUUAACGGCCGCGGUACCCUGACCGUGCAAAGGUAGCAUAAUCAUUUGCCUUAUAAUUGAAGGCUUGUAUGAAUGGUCUGACGAAAGCAAUACUGUCUCUUCUUUAUUAUCUAGAAAUUAACCUAUGGGUGAAGAGGCCUAUAUUAUAUUGAAGGACAAGAAGACCCUGUCGAGCUUUAGAGUAAAGCAGGAAUAUAAGUAUUAAAAAAAUCAAUGACUACAUAACUCUUUAGUUGGGGCGACUAAGGAACAAAUAAAGCUUCUUUUAGUUUUUUAGAUCAAUAAAUUUAGAUCCAGCAAAGCUGAUUAAAAGAAUUAGUUACCGCAGGGAUAACAGCAUAAUCUCUCUUGAGAGACCUAAUCGAAAGAGGGGGUUGUGACCUCGAUGUUGGACUAAAAUAUCCUGAAGAUGCAGACGUCUUCGAAGGUUGGUCUGUUCGACCAUUAAAAUUUUACAUGAUCUGAGUUCAGACCGGCGUGAGCCAGGUCAGUUUCUAUCCUCAAUUUACAUAUUUAUGUUUAGUACGAAAGGACCAACUUAAAAAAUUUAAUUUUAUAUAGGAAAAUAUAUAAUUAAUGAAUGUAAAAUAUAUUU
rnacentral:rRNA from 1 species